rnacentral:rRNA from 1 species
GUAAUGGCGAACGAANNGGGAACAGCUUGGGUUGGAAACUAAGGCUUCGGUGUCGGGUUGUGACCUGCAGACACAGCACCAACAGCGGCGCAACGGUAAGCCUCUUGGAAAAGAGCAUUCACUCGGGUGAGAAUCCUGUGCGUCGCUUGACGUCCGCUGCGUACGGUGCGUGCUCUUAAAGUCACGCUCCUUGGAAUUGGAGCGUAAAUUAGGUGGUAAAUUUCAUCUACAGCGAAAUAUAAGCUCGAGACCGAUAGCAAACAAGUACCAUGAGGGAAAGAUGAAAAGGACUUUGGAAAGAGAGUUAAAAGUGCUUGAAAUCGCUGAAGGGGAAGCGAAUGGAACCAAGACCCUGGCUGAGACUGCUGUCGAGUUUUCACUAGCCUUGUGUGUGAAUGCGUAAGCUUUUCGCACAUACGUGAAGGAAUGCUCGCGGUGUUUCUCAGCUUGCUCGUCAGCUGCAACGCUCGCUUGAGGAUGGCCCUUGUCGCGCGCGGCUCUUCUGCGGAAUUGCUUCGGCGCCUCUGGGGAUUCAGGCGAGCGUGUCUUGCUGAUUAAAUGGUUCUCUUCGACCCGUCUUGAAACACGGACCAAGGAGUCUAGCACAUGUGCAAGUUCUCGGGCGACAAGCCAGUGAGCAUAAUGAAGGUGACUGCUGGGAUGCUUUGCGCUAGCAACCGACUAAUCAAUUGGGAGAAGUUUGAGUCAGAGCGUGUGUGUUAGGACCCGAAA